UCCCGCAUAGGUGUGCAUACCAGAAGGCAAAAGGUCAUCUGGACCCAUCUGGAAGCUGCCCACAAGCACAUGCAAGAGAUGAUAGGAAGGUGGAAUGUUCAGCAAUGUGCUCUGGAAGAAAUAAACACAAGACAUCAAGCAGCACAAGAUCACUUAUGAAAAGGGAACAGCUGAACCACAAGACACUGGCGAGGAUAGAUGUAGAUCCUAAGGAGAGAGCCACCCCAUCAUACCUCAAAAGGACCCUGGC